UGCAGUCGAGCGGAACGAUGAUAGCUUGCUAUCAGGCGUCGAGCGGCGGACGGGUGAGUAAUACUUAGGAAUCUACCUAGUAGUGGGGGAUAGCACGGGGAAACUCGUAUUAAUACCGCAUACGACCUACGGGAGAAAGGGGGCAGUUUACUGCUCUCGCUAUUAGAUGAGCCUAAGUCGGAUUAGCUAGAUGGUGGGGUAAAGGCCUACCAUGGCGACGAUCUGUAGCUGGUCUGAGAGGAUGAUCAGCCACACCGGGACUGAGACACGGCCCGGACUCCUACGGGAGGCAGCAGUGGGGAAUAUUGGACAAUGGGGGAAACCCUGAUCCAGCCAUGCCGCGUGUGUGAAGAAGGCCUUUUGGUUGUAAAGCACUUUAAGCAGUGAAGAAGACUCUUCGGUUAAUACCCGGAGACGAUGACAUUAGCUGCAGAAUAAGCACCGGCUAACUCUGUGCCAGCAGCCGCGGUAAUACAGAGGGUGCAAGCGUUAAUCGGAAUUACUGGGCGUAAAGGGAGCGUAGGUGGCUCGAUAAGUCAGAUGUGAAAUCCCCGGGCUCAACCUGGGAACUGCAUCUGAUACUGUUGAGCUAGAGUAUGUGAGAGGAAGGUAGAAUUCCAGGUGUAGCGGUGAAAUGCGUAGAGAUCUGGAGGAAUACCGAUGGCGAAGGCAGCCUUCUGGCAUAAUACUGACACUGAGGCUCGAAAGCGUGGGUAGCAAACAGGAUUAGAUACCCUGGUAGUCCACGCCGUAAACGAUGUCUACUAGUCGUUGGGUCCCUUGAGGACUUAGUGACGCAGCUAACGCAAUAAGUAGACCGCCUGGGGAGUACGGCCGCAAGGUUAAAACUCAAAUGAAUUGACGGGGGCCCGCACAAGCGGUGGAGCAUGUGGUUUAAUUCGAUGCAACGCGAAGAACCUUACCUGGUCUUGACAUAUCUAGAAUCCUGCAGAGAUGCGGGAGUGCCUUCGGGAAUUAGAAUACAGGUGCUGCAUGGCUGUCGUCAGCUCGUGUCGUGAGAUGUUGGGUUAAGUCCCGCAACGAGCGCAACCCUUGUCCUUAGUUACCAGCGGGUUAAGCCGGGAACUCUAAGGAUACUGCCAGUGACAAACUGGAGGAAGGCGGGGACGACGUCAAGUCAUCAUGGCCCUUACGACCAGGGCUACACACGUGCUACAAUGGUAGGUACAGAGGGCAGCUACACAGCGAUGUGAUGCGAAUCUCAAAAAGCCUAUCGUAGUCCAGAUUGGAGUCUGCAACUCGACUCCAUGAAGUAGGAAUCGCUAGUAAUCGCGGAUC
rnacentral:rRNA from 1 species